GCCAAUGUGGUUUAGUGGUUUGAACAUUGGACUAUAACUCUGGAGAUCAGGGUUUGAUUCCCUGCUCAGCCG